UGGCUGAAUAAACAGAGUCCGUAAUUCAAAAGCAUUGUCAAAGGCAGGCCAAGGUCAGUAGUCAGAGAAACAAUCUGAUAAGCCAGCGCAGGCAACAAGACAGUAAUUCAGAGAACUCGUUGAAGCCGCACUGAAGGGGCCCUCCCUCACGCUCUUAUGCUUUGAGUUUUAUGUCAGCUUGCAACAGCUGCUUUCUCUAAUGAGGUCCCUCCUCCCUCUGGAAAGGCCGAUCAGCUCAGAGCUCUGAGGCGUGCUGAUCUACAUCGGACCGGAAAGAAAUUAACAAAUACAGAACAGAGAAUAAGUUAUAUGCUGCUGUCAGGAACCCCAGAAAAUGGAAAUGAAUGUCUUACCACGUGUGAUGUUUUUGUUGCAAACAAUUCCAAUUAUCCGAGAUUCCAAACAAUUUGACAAGUGGCAAAGGAAAAUAUCAGACUUUGUCUGGGCAGGCAAGAAACCACGUGUGAAAAUGAAAGUGCUGCAGGAUGCAAAGGAAAGAGGUGGUUUGCAGCUGCCCAAUAUAAGACUAUAUUAUGAAGCAAUUUGUCUGACAUGGCUAAAGGACUGGAUAACGUUGAAAAACCGCAAAUUGCUGGCCUUGGAAGGAUACAAAAAAAUAUUUGGAUGGCAUGCGUACCUGUGGUACGAUAAAGUAAAGGCAGAUUCUGUUUUUGCAUCACUAUAUUUGAAGAAGCCUCUUCACAAUCUGGAAAAAAUAUAAGGUUUAAAUGGAAGAUGGAAUUCCUUCAUGGGUGGUACCAUAUGAAGUAAUAGAUCCGAGAACUGUCGAUAAUGAGCAACAAUGUUUAACUUACAAGGAGAUAACACAAAUACAAGAUUCAAGGUUAAAAAUAAAGUCAGAAGAUGAGUUGU